ACCAUUUCAUGGCUGGGCUGUUGUUACUGCUAGACACAUCAACUUCACAAUAAUGGAACUUACAGUAAACCAGGGCAUAUCUGGUAGAACUGAAAUUUGAAGCACUGACUCGUAAAGGUGGCAUUCUAUAACAGUGCCACAUUUAAAGUCACUGAUCUCUUCAGCACAACAAAUUGUACUAUCAAUGUUUGUCUAUGGAGAUUUCAUGGUGGUGUGAUAGAUUUUUUUGCACCUGUUCGCAAU